AACGAACGCUGGCGGCAUGCCUAACACAUGCAAGUCGAACGGGAUCCGAGCUUCGGUUCGGUGAGAGUGGCGGACGGGUGAGUAACGCGUGGGAACCUGCCCAGUGGUGGGGGAUAACUGCGGGAAACUGCAGCUAAUACCGCAUGAGCCCGAGAGGGGAAAGAUUUAUCGCCAUUGGAGGGGCCCGCGUUCGAUUAGGUAGUUGGUGAGGUAACGGCUCACCAAGCCUUCGAUCGAUAGCUGGUCUGAGAGGAUGAUCAGCCACACUGGGACUGAGAUACGGCCCAGACUCCUACGGGAGGCAGCAGUGGGGGAAUAUUGGACAAUGGGGGCGAACCCUCGAUCCAGCAAUGCCGCGUGAGUGAUGAAGGGCCUCGUCGGUAAGUACCGUACGUCGUC
rnacentral:rRNA from 1 species